CACAAGGGGGGCAGAGCCAUUCAAGGCCAACGAUGGGAUAAACUCGCAUUUGCACGAAGGAAAUCAGUGUGCCGCUACCCAGGCUGAGACAUCCCCGUGGUGGAAGGUCGACCUACUGCAAGAAUACACGGUUGUUGUGGUUGUCGUCACUACAAGGGCGUGCUGUGACUCGCCCGCACUUAUGAACUUGGAAAUUCGGGUUGGAAAUUCACUUGACAUUCAGAAGAACAGGCUAUGUGCGUGGGAGCCUGGAAAAGUGGAGGAAGGGAGUAAUGUCAAAUUUGAAUGCGCUCUACCGCUGAAGGGCAGAUAUGUCAUAUUGCAAACGGCCGGUCGAGAAAGUGAGCUAUCUCUCUGCGAGGUGGAGGUCUACAGCACGGAAGACACACCUUUGCAUUCGACCACGAUUUCUACCACUUCCACAAUCGACCAGGCGCUAACUACCACUGGAGCACACUACCAGAAUCCCUCUACUGGUCUACCAAAAUUCGACCGGCCAACACACACACACACACACACACACACACAUCUGGGAAAGAGUUCGCGAAAGAGCGAUGUUCUGCUACAGCUGAUAUCAAGACCAUUGGGGUAUUUAACAAGACCUGCUAUCAAUUCAAAGUAGACGAUGGAAGCUCAUUUGACUCCGCGCGGGAAAAAUGUAAACAAGCCGACGCCACCAUCACCGCCUCAGCGCGAAAUACCUCCCACCCUUCUGUCUCUCGCUCUAUCUCUCCGGAUCUCGCUCACUCGCUCACCGCCGUGACUCACCUCUGAGUUAGAGCGACGAGAGACAGCUUUGAAAGGAGACCUGGUGUGGAUCGGGCUGAGGAGAGACCCGGGAUUUAUUUCGCGGACAUGGCGUUGGGUGGACGACAUCGAGUGUGGGGUUCCUGACGACAUAGAGGAUGGGAGCUACACGUACACAGGGGAGGCCAGAAAUACGUACACGGCCAAGACUACGUACACAUGUGCACAAAACUACUCGCUGGACGGGGCUCAUGUGCGCGUAUGUACGGACGCCCCAGAAACCUACAUGCCUGUACGCCCGGUGCCCCCCCCUGCCCCCGCCCCCCCACUCGACUAUCCAGGAGAACAGUAAUAGUCUGAAGGCUGGAGGAUCGUCACCUACUCCUGCGAAACUGGUUAUCUGCUGGUCGGAGAAGCGGGAAGGAACUGAGAUGAGACCAGACUCAGCAGCCCUCCAGUGAGCCCAGGAGACCACCGAGGGACACCCACGCACCUCAUGGCUUGGGGGACGCAUGGAGAUGGUGGGGCAGGAGACAGAGACGAGACCACUGAGCUGAGGAGACCAGUCAGGCCUUCAAGAUGCUGCCUAAAUGCUGGGGCAGACCAGAUGAGACCAGCUGAGACGAGUCCUGUUGGGGAGAAGAUGGAGGGAGAUUAAUUGAGCCAAGGAAGGAG